GCUCAAUGGCAGUGGGUCGGUGGAAGGAUGGUCUAAACCGUUGGUUUUCGACCGCUACGACCCGGGUUCGAUUCCCGCAUUGGGCA
rnacentral:tRNA from 1 species